ensembl:lincRNA
AGAAAUUCUAAACAGAUGUCUGCUUUCUCUGAGCCUGUCAUCACUGCCACUAUGAUAUAGAAGCUGAAUGUUCCAGGGCUCACUGAGGGGUCCAACAAUGUCAGAAUCCCAGGGAAGUAGAACAGACCUUUCCCUACACAGUUGCAAGAGGCUGCCUCAGCUUCAGGUAUCCUGUCAUUGGCCGAGAGCCACAGAAGGAAAAGCCACAGUGCAGUUUUUGCAGUUUUUAAACAUGGCUGGUCAGAAGAGGCUUGUGCCUGCCCAUCGCCUGUGUUGCAAAUACAUUUUCAGAGAGAAGCCCACUUCUUGGGAUGACUUCAUCCUAUGACUAGCUCAAUCUGAUGGACAUGUGACGGGAUCCAGAUGCACAGCCCCACACAGGUGAGCACGGUAAACACGCAUCUGUUGCAUGGGGUGGUGGACAGCUCAUUGC